AUGACAGCUGUGUUCACAGUGGGACAGUUUUUCACCCUCUGCCUCUGAAUUCUCUUUGCUUCUUGUAAAGCCAUCACUUCAAUUUGAUGCCCUAAAGGCUCAUCAAAGGGGGAAGGUGCAUUGUCCAUUUUCAUAAGGAUCAUGUUGUUGGACUCCUUUUUUUGAGCUUUCUCUGUCCCCUUCCCAUGGCAGCAAGAGCCUGGCCCAAGUCUGGGACCGUUUUUUGUCAGUGAAGAAAGCUGUUCCCCUGCUGCUUGCUCAACCUAGCGCCAUCUUCAUCCCUAUGUAUGUUGUCCCAGUGCUCUGUCCCAAGCUGGUGGUGGUUUUAAUUAUGUAUCUAUGUUUUCCAGGCCCAAGAGUACAGCUGAGAAGUGACACUUCUGAGUGAGGGUCUUUAGGAUGGCUCAUUGUUAGCAUAGAAGUAUUGGUUUCUGCCAGAUGUUGUCUUUGUCUUGGAGGUCUCCUUAUAAUUACAUACCUCCAAAUGCCACAUGCUUUGAAUAUUUUUCUCCAGUGCUUGGAGCAGCUUCUCCUUUUUAGUAUGACUGACUGAAACCUACAGAAAAUAAAUGUAUGCAGCACUGAAUGAAGGCUCAAUCCAGAGCAUUCAAGAGGGAAUCUAAACAACAGGAAAUGAAAUCCCAAACCACAGUAUUCUAGGACAUCAAAGAUCAAGUCCCAGGAAUUUGAAAUGGCUCAAGAUAAAAGGCUAAAACAGUCUGAGUGGCAAGGCUCUGGAACAUGCUGCCCAGAAAGGUGGUGGUUGUCCUAUCCUUGGAGACAUUCAAGGUCCGGCUGGAUGGGGCUCUGAGCACCUGAUGGAGCUGUAGGUGUCCCUGUUCAUCACAGGGGAGUUGAAUCAGAUGAGCUUUCAAGGUCCCUUAUAACUCAAACGAUUGUAUGACAAUUAUAUGUGGUAUAGCACAUAACAGUGGUUGUCUUCAUCUCUGUUCUUUAUCAGUGAGUAAAUAAAAGGGAAGUCAGAUGCCACGUCUAGCAUUUCUGCUUCCACUCUGUGUUGCUCUUUUCUCAGCAUCUCCAGUUUGAAGUGUUAAGAGUGCAAUAUCUGCAACAAAUUAAUUAGUAAAAUCGUCAAAUGAAGUUAAGAAACUUAAAUUAUUAAUUCUUGAUCUGAAGAUCACAGGGACAGUACCUGUAUUUUCUGCCAUUUCAUCUUUAUACCGCAAGAGGAAAAAAGCAAGAUAGACAUGCUGAAUGGUGAUGAGACGAAGUGUUGAAGUAUUUCUAUUUGGAGACAUGAAUUCAAACAUAUGGAAGGAACUGAGACCCUCUGACCUACACAAAGCCUCCAGACAGUCAAAAGCAUUCCCUUGGUUGCGUGCUGCAAGUGUCUUGUAAAAAUAAGGCUGCACUUAGAGCUGCUGAGCACCACAAACUUCUGAACAUUAAGCUCAGUGGAAAUUAAGACAAAACAUCCCACAUCUCUGUGCUAAAAAGGAGAUGAGCUGCCAAACAGAUUCUGUUGCCAGCUGCUGCCUACUUUGCUCCUUUUAGGAUCUGUCACCUGCUUUGAAAUUCUUGGUGACUAAUGUAGGCCAUCCCCAAUCCUCAGGCAGAAGUCACUGCUACUCAAUUAAUAUUAAAUACUUUUGGCUUAUUAACAUAAUAAUUCUGUUUUUGCCUAAUUGCAAUCUUUAAGGGAUUAUAUAUAGUUUUUUCCUCUCUGUUUGGAAGUCCUAAGAGCUCUGAAGUUAUUGAUCAAAUCUUCCCCACAAAUCCUAAUGGAACCACAAGAGCAUGUGAUAUAGCUCUGAUCAGUCUCUGUGUUGCUAGUGAAUGCACUUCAAGCAAAUGAGAUUUGUUUCAGCUCCAUGUUGCUCAUACAGAUGCUUUGAAGACAUAUGAAAUGAGUACUCCAGAUAAUUUUGGCACUAUUAGAGAUAAGAGUCUUAUCAGGACCUGAGGUACCAACCUAAUUUUUUUUUCAUGAAAGCUGCCAGAGUAAACCCAUGACUCUUCUGAAUCAGCACAUCACGUUUGUUGUGCUCUGCAGAAAGGAGAGAACAGCAAAAGAUAAUGGACCGUGAUAGCACCACAGCUCUGGGAAAUGGGGCAAUGGAAAUAGCAGCAAAUGGUGAUCAAAAUGUCUGUGUUAAAGCUCAGCCCUGGAACAGACUGGAUACAUCUCCUGUUCAGCUUUUUCCUCUGAAAAAUAAGACACUGUUUACUUCAGGCAUUUCUCAUUAAGCUCAGAAAAACAGUACAUUUUCUCUGAUUCUGGAAGGGUAAGAUUGGAAAUGGUGGCCUGAUAUCUGUUAGCAAAUAAAGAAAAGAGGAAACGGACAGUUUUGCAGAUAGUCCUUCUAAGUCUCUGCAAGAGUACUGCUGGAGUAGCAGAUGCUCAAAGGGAGCCUUUACAUACGUGUUACCCAUUUAACAGUGAUAAGAUGAAGCCCUCUGCAGACAGAGUAUGGGAGAUACAAGGAAUAAAGCUUGCCUACAGGUGGUUGACAAAUAAACCAAGUCUUUUAUGCCUAAAGACUGGAUAUUGACAUUUGGCAAACACAAAUCCUAGCAUGGUGGCAAUUCACAAUCCUCUUGAGGCUUUCCAAGGUCUCAGCACAUGUGCUAAGAGCUUGCAUUGCCUAUGAAUGUUUUCAUCAACCAUCAAUGGCUCAAGUCUUUAUAUUUCACACUACUAUAUCUCUAGGUUGCUAUGCAGCCAAAAAUCCUUGAUGAUUAGCAGAUAUUUGGACAUUCUGGUAAUGAAACCAUGUUAGUUGCCAGAGAAAGUGUCAGUAAUUGAUUGGUGUGAUGCACUAUGGAUUGGAUGAUAGUUUAUUCUUAGGAAAGAGGUUUUCAUCCAUUUUUUUCCCCAGUGUUUUACAUUUGUUCUCAAAACAUGGAAAUCCUAGGGACAAUUUUAGAAAUAAAAAAUUCAUGGCAUGAGGCCAUUUGAUGCUGCCAUUAAGGCACUUCACUGCUGUAUUCCUGGGCCGUCAAGGGAGGAUGGGUGUUGUGUAAAUUAGCAGCAAGCUGCACGUUGCACAGCUGCACAGAAGGACCAAGAGUGAGCUUAACUGAGGGGCAAAAGUGUAGAGCUGGCCAGCAAGAACUGCCUUAUGUAACAGAAAUUAUAAAAUGCCAUUCAGUGUACAAUCAAAAGUGAGAGAAACCUCUGGAUAUGAUGCGUUUAAACUUCUGGGCUAUUUUGAUACUGGAUCCAAGUCACUCGGAGAGCCCAGUGGUGAUGAAUACACCUCACAACAUGCCUGUUAUUUGCUUUCUGUGUUUACUCCUUCUUUUAGAAGGGUAUCACUCUUUGCUUUUCUGGUCAACAUCAUUUUGGCUGUGUGUUGAUAUACAAUCUCAGACUGCCUGUGCAGAUAGCUUUUCAGCAAUCCCUGCAUUGUGCAAGAAUAGAUUUAGAAAAGUGAAGGGCGAGGUUAAUCAUACUGCUGUGGUUGUGCAGGUGUGCUCAGCACUUUCCUCAAACUUCUGUUGUUAAAGGGUUCCAAGGCAUGUGGUUAAAAAAUGGGCUGCUAACUCUGUAUUCCAACACCUAUAUGUUAAUGGCCUGGCCUGUGAGAAGCAAGGAACAUCCACAUAAACCCCCAAUGCUCCUCCACACACAUUUGGAGCAUUAUCAUAAAAGGACUCCAAUAUUAAUCCCAUAAACUCCAGAUGGAAGGCUUUAGUAAUGCUAGAAGACUAAGCUCAGUGACUUCUUUGUGAGCUACAUGUACUUAUCAUAGGUGAGCUAGUACGUGGGCCAAGAAGACGUCAGUGAAUGAUUCAUACUUUGAAUCACUGGAUGGAGAAUGUAGCUGAAAUUAUUCCAAUUUCUUGCUCUGUGUCUCCUUGCAGUAAAGUCUGGUUGAUUAUUGCUUGUUGGUUAUCCUUACUGUCAUUAUUAUUCUCUCUAAACUUCUGCAGCAGCUGCAGUGUUCAUUCUUUGUCUGGAUGUCUAAAGGAGGGGAGAUCAGAGAAUACCAGUAGGUAAAUAACUGUUUUAUUUUGUCAUGUUUUGUUUUGUAUUGAUUUGUUUUCUGUCAGUGCUGGAGCAUCUCCUUGAGGAAUGCGCAGCUCUGAGCCGUAUCUUGUCCUGGUUCAGGGACACUGGGUGUUCAGAGCACUGGCUCUUCUGUGGCACAGUGCGUGAAGGGUGAACUGUAUCAAAAGAAGGGCACAAGGAACAACACAUGCAUCUAAGUUUUUAUCAUUUAUUGGAAACAAGCGUAAACCCCGCUAGCGCUGGGGGGGCC
ensembl:lncRNA